AAGCAGACGAGAAAUGGCGGUUGGUGUAUGUGUUUUGAUGUAAAGUUAAUACAGUAUAGAGAUUUAGGAAAAGGGAUAUGAAAAGCAUUAAAUUUGUAUUUGAAUGCAAUAUCUAUCCAUAUAAUCGAAGAUGGAAGAUAGUGGUAUAGAUAGUGAUUCUAAAUCUAAUAGUAAUAGUUGUGUUGCUGCUCCAUCUGUGUGCAAUGGGCGUGAAUCGUCGAUGGCUGUACGGAAAGAAAACAAAUCAGAGGAAUCGAAUUUACAAGAGAAAUCUGGUACAAGUAAAAAGACAUGCAUCUGCAUAACUUCAAAAUCAUGGAACUUGAAACUGUUUAAAUCAGGGACUUACUUUGGAUUCAAC
rnacentral:lncRNA from 1 species